UGUGAGGGAAGCGAGUUGUUAUCUUUGGUUAUCUAGCUGUAUGAGUGUAUUGGUCUUCAUAAAGCUAGAUAACCGAAAGUAAAAACUCCUUCAAGGUCGCCGGGGAGCGUGUGAGAGUGAACGAC
rnacentral:miRNA from 1 species